rnacentral:lncRNA from 1 species
AAAAAAAUUUUGAGGGAAAAAAAAAUUCAGUUUGGACUUGUAAUAUUUUUCAAAAUUUGAAUAUCGAAAAAGGAAAAAGGAAACGAAUAAGGAAAUGAAAUCGAAUAAGGAAAUAGAAACUGAAUAAGGAAAUGAAAAUUGAAAAAGGAAAAAGAAACCGAAUAAGGAAAUGAAAAUCAAAUAAGGAAAAAGAAACCGAAUAAGGAAAUGAAAAUCGAAUAAGGAAAUAGAAACCGAAUAAGGAAAAAGAAACUGAAUAAGGAAAUGAAAAUCGAAAAGGAAUAGAAACGAAUAAGGAAAUGAAAAUCGAAAAAGGAAAAAGAAACCGAAUAAGGAAAUGAAAAUCGAAA